rnacentral:rRNA from 1 species
UACCAGCACCCCGAGUGGUCGGGACGAUUAUUGGGCCUAAAGCAUCCGUAGCCGGUUCUACAAGUCUUCCGUUAAAUCCACCUGCUUAACAGAUGGGCUGCGGAGGAUACUAUAGAGCUAGGAGGCGGGAGAGGCAAGCGGUACUUAGUGGGUAGGGGUAAAAUCCGUUGAUCCAUUGAAGACCACCAGUGGCGAAGGCGGCUUGCCAGAACGCACUCGAACGGGUGAGGGAUGGAAAGCUGGGGGAGCAAACCGGG